AUACGUAGGGGGCAAGCGUUGUCCGGAUUUAUUGGGCGUAAAGGGUGCGUAGGUGGCGCCGUAAGUCAGGUGUGAAAUCUCGGGGCUCAACCCCGAAACUGCACUUGAUACUGCGGUGCUCGAGUACUGGAGAGGAGAUUGGAAUUUACGGUGUAGCAGUGAAAUGCGUAGAUAUCGUAAGGAAGACCAGUGGCGAAGGCGAAUCUCUGGACAGUUACUGACACUGAGGCACGAAGGCCAGGGGAGCAAACGGG
rnacentral:rRNA from 1 species